GGAGUUAGCCGGUGCUUCUUCUGCGAGUAACGUCACAGAUGUAAGGUAUUAACUUACACCCUUUCCUCCUCGCUGAAAGUGCUUUACAACCCGAAGGCCUUCUUCACACACGCGGCAUGGCUGCAUCAGGGUUUCCCCCAUUGUGCAAUAUUCCCCACUGCUGCCUCCCGUAGGAGUCUGGGCCGUGUCUCAGUCCCAGUGUGGCUGAUCAUCCUCUCAGACCAGCUAGGGAUCGUCGCCUAGGUGAGCCUUUACCUCACCUACUAGCUAAUCCCACCUGGGCUUAUCCAUCAGCGCAAGGCCCGAAGGUCCCCUGCUUUCCCCCGUAGGGCGUAUGCGGUAUUAGCAGUCGUUUCCAACUGUUAUCCCCCACAAAUGGGCAAAUUCCCAGGCAUUACUCACCCGUCCGCCGCUCGUCAUCUUCAAAAGCAAGCUUUUGAAAUGUUACCGCUCGACUUGCAUGUGUUAGGCCUGCCGCCAGCGUUCAAAUCUGAGCCAGAAUCAAACUCUGA
rnacentral:rRNA from 1 species